UUCCUAUUUCGAGGCUCUAACGACAUACCAGGGAAUAGGAUUGAAAGCGCUACUGGGGGUAAUGGAUGAAACAGCGCAAUAUAGGUGGCGAAGUUAGUGCCUAUUCCAUGAACGACUGACGGGU
ncrna:unclassified sequences Betaproteobacteria-1 RNA